GGGGAGUGACAGCUGUCGAAAGAUGGUUUUCUUCGGACACUCUUCAAGGUGCUGCAUGGUUGUCGUCAGCUCGUGCCGUGAGGUGUCGGGUUAAGUCCCAUAACGAGCGCAACCCUUACCGUUAGUUACCCAUCAGGUUAAGCUGGGGACUCUAGCGGGACUGCCACCGUAAGGUGAGAGAAGUGGGGAUGACGUCAAAUCAGCACGGCCCUUAUGUCCAGGGCUACACACGUGUUACAAUGGCCGGUACAAAGGGCAGCUACUUCGCGAGAAGAUGCUAAUCUCGAAAGCCGGUCUCAGUUCGGAUCGAAGUCUGCAACCCGACUUCGUGAAGCUGGAUUCGCUAGUAAUCGCGCAUCAGCCAUGGCCGCGGUCGAAUACGUUCCGGCCUU
rnacentral:rRNA from 1 species